GGUCUGGUUGCUUCUGUGCGUCGUUCGGCGAAACUUGGGGUUAGCAUAGCAAGCAAGCUGGACUGCGUUUCGUUUAUUUCGUCGUUUCCAAGAAGAUCUGCUCUUGUCUUUUUGUGUUUUGUUUUAACAAUCCGGACACCGUGGCCACCAACGGAGAGCCUCCGAUGACCCCGCAGUGAGUACUGGUGGGUCUGCUUCAGGGAAGUCCCUAACUGGGUUUGUGUACCUGGGCUGUAGGCUAUUGACUGGGGUGGACUGGUUAACUGACUGCCUCUGGUCACCUUUCGCAACAAAAUGAAACCAAAAAAAUGGGCAAUUAUGGUGGAUUGAAAGGGUGGCCAAUGUUCGCAGAACUGGCCAAGAUGAUGAGAAAACUGUCAACAAAAAUCGAUUAAUAGGGUGUACAACAGAACCUGCAAACAUUUAGGGAAAACUUUAUCACGCACUGAGUAGUUUGAAGGGAAAAUGUUUCUUGUGAGGUCUGUCACGUUUGGCAGAAUCCCACAGAGGCUCAUUGACACGGGUUUUCUUUAAAAAUGCACACCAUGAACUGCAUUGCCCACCGUUUGACGGGAUUCACGUUUGGUACAACGCUCUGAUCUCGAGACAUGAUGCACAACUCCAAUGUACGCCUAAUGUUUCCCAUGUUGUGUCCAAUGUAUGUUGGCCCACCCUACUGGUUUCCGUGCAGUGUGGUUCUGCUUCGUCCGUGCAGUGUGGUUCUGCUUCGUCCGUGCAGUGUGGUUCUGCUUCGUCCGUGCAGUGUGGUUCUGUUUCGUCUGUGCAGGGUGGUUCUGGUUCCGUUUCGUCUAUCGUGUGGUUCUGUGCAUUGUGGUUCUAUUGUCUAUGUGAUGGGAUUCUGCGCAGUGGUUCUAUUCUGCUCAGUGUGGUUCUAUUCUCUGUGUAAUGGCGUUCUGUGCAGUGUGAUGGGGUUCUGUGCAGUGUGGUUGUAUUCUGGGUUCCUUUUUGUCCAGUUCUCCAUUUGCCAAUCCAAUGGAUAAUCUCCUUGAGUCAAACAUACAAAUUUCCUUGACGAAUUUUUGCGUUGAUAUAUUUAGAAUUUGUGUAUUUUACCAAGGUCAUCUGAAGAGAUUGGAGGAUUUUUAUACAACUCCGAUGUACGCCUUAUGUUUCCCAUGUUGUGUCCGAUACAUGUUGGCCCACCCUACUGGUGCGCCUGUGCAGUGGGGUUCUGCUUCGUCGGUGCAGUGUGGUUCUGUGCAGUGUGGUUCUAUUCUGUAUAAUUGGUUUUGAUGCAGUGUGGUUCUAUUUUUUUUCUGUGCAGUGUGGUUCUAAUUUUUUCUGUGCAGUGUGGUUCUAUUUUUUUUCAGUGCAGUGUGGUCCUAUUGUCUGUGUGACGGGAUUCUGUGCAGUUGUUCUAUUCUGCUCAGUCUGGUUCUAUUGUCUUUGUAAAGGCGUUAUGUGCAGUGUGAUGGGGUUCUAUGCAGUGUGGUUGUAGUCUGUGGUUCCUUUUUGUCCAGUGCUCCAUUUGCCAAUCCAAUGGAUAAUCUUUGAGUCAUCCACACAAAUUUCCUUGACGAAUUUCUGCAUUGAUAUAUUUUGAAUUUGUAUUAACCAAGGCCCUCUGAAGAGAUUGGGCGAUUUUUACAAACACCACCAAAGGCAAGUGAAGUUUACCACUUUUCUUCCCAAUUCAUUGAGACCCUGGAGCUUUGAUGGGAUGUUUUCACAAUGUGUUUUUUUUUCUUGUGUUGUCAGGAUUCCCCAACAACCAUCUCGCUAGAUUCAAGUCAGGCUGGCCUUCCUAAUGUGUUCUGAUGACUACAAUGGACGGUCCUGAAGGACUGGAGCUGUGGGUGGAAGAGGGCCUGGAGGGCUCCAGAUGUGGAGGACCAGGAGGCGUCCAGAUGUUGAAGACAGGAAGAUCUGUUCUACAGAUGCGGAGGAUAACAUCCUUUUAAUUUCAUCCUUUUAAUUUCUUUCUUGGUCAAAUUUAGUUUGACCCAUGACAGCACUCUGUACUGGUGACUUGGUGUUAGAUCUUCUGUCUCUGUACUGGUGUCUUGGUGUUUAUUCUUUCACUGGUUGUGGCUUCAGGAGGGCUCUGUACUGGUGACUUGGUGUUUGAUCCUGACUGGUGUUUUAACUUUCAGACGUGGCCGAUGAGGUGGGCGUUCAUCUGGUGACUGCUCCCAGGAAGAGGGCUAGCUCCUCCUACAGCAAGGGGGCGGUGGCUGGACCUUGACCCGGACCAGGGACGGUGGCUGGACCAGGGGCGGUGGCUGGACCUCGACCUGGACCAGGAGCAGCACAGCAGCUUGAAGACGUGGACGUGGACCCUGGGCUCAAAGUUUCUUCAUCUUUAAGAGGACGGACGACCUGGUGGCCGACAGCAGACGGGAGUAGAGGGACACCGCUGGCAACUAACCCUAGACCACCUAAACUAGACUUAAACCAUCUAACCCCUCAACCUAAACUAGACUUAAACCAUCUAACCCCUCAACCUAAACUAGCCUUAAACCAUCUAACCCCUCAACCUAAACUAGACUUAAACCAUCCAACCCCUCAACCUAAACUAGACUUAAACCAUAUAUCCCCUCAACCUAAACUAGACUUAAACCAUCCAACCCCUCAACCUAAACUAGACUUAAACCAUCUAACCCCUCAACCUAAACUUGACUUAAACCAUCUAACCCCUCAGCCUAACCUAGUACCUAAACUUAACCAUCGGUAACCUAGAGCCUAAACUUAACCCUAAACCGUACCAAUUAAAACAUCCUUAAUUAUCCUUAAUCACUUCGCAAUAUUAAACUAGCUUACCCUAAAGCCUAACGUGUCCCUCGGUCUGUCCUGCAACAGACGGUGCAGAGAACCAGGACUGGAGCUGUGGGUGGAAGAGGGCCUGGAGGGCUCCAGAUGUGGAGGACCGGGAGGCGUCCAGAUGUUGAAGACAGGAAGAUCUGGUCUACAGAUGCGGAGGAUAACAUCCUUUUAAUUUCAUCCUUUUAAUUUCUUUCUUGGUCAAAUUUAGUUUGACCCAUGACAGCACUCUGUACUGGUGACUUGGUGUUAGAUCUUCUGUCUCUGUACUGGUGUCUUGGUGUUUAUUCUUUCACUGGUUGUGGCUUCAGGAGGGCUCUGUACUGGUGACUUGGUGUUUGAUCCUGACUGGUGUUUUAACUUUCAGACGUGACCGAUGAGGUGGGCGUUCAUCUGGUGACUGCUCCCAGGAAGAGAGCUAGCUCCUCCUACGACAAGGGGGCGGUGGCUGGACCUCGACCCGGACCAGGGACGGUGAAUGGACCAGGGGCGCUGGCUGGACCUUGACCCGGACCAGGGGCGGUGGCUGGACCAGGGGCGG